rnacentral:rRNA from 1 species
AGCCUACCUCUAGCCCAACCACACUAAACUCAAAUAAAAUUAAAAACUCACCUCACUAUCAAACUAAAACAUUCUCCCGACUUAGUAUAGGCGAUAGAAAAGGACCCCCCCCCCCCCGCGNNNNNNNNNNNNNNNCCCCCACCCCCCCGGCGCGAUAGAGAUCAGUACCGUAAGGGAAAGAUGAAAUAACAAUGAAAAUCUAAGCAAUACACAGCAAAGAUGAACUCUUGUACCUUUUGCAUCAUGAUUUAGCAAGAACAACCAAGCAAAAUGAAUUUAAGUUUGCCACCCCGAAACCUAAGCGAGCUACUCACAAACAGCUACCCAUGAGCGAACCCGUCUCUGUUGCAAAAGAGUGGGAUGAUUUGUCAGUAGAGGUGAAAAGCCAACCGAGCUGGGUGAUAGCUGGUUGCCUGUGAAAUGAAUCUAAGUUCUCCCUUGACUGUUCUCCAAGGAUAUUCAAUCUAACCAUCAUGUAGCAAGUCAAGAAUAAUUUAAAGGGGGUACAGCCCCUUUAAAAAAGAACACAAUCUCUACUAGUGGAUAAGUACCUGCUAUAACCUACACCGUGGGCCUUUAAGCAGCCAUCAAUAAAGAGUGCGUCAAAGCUCUACCUUCAAAAAAUCCUAAAACAGAAUGACUCCCUUAACCCUAACAGGCUAAUCUAUUAACAAUAGAAGAAUCAAUGCUAAAAUGAGUAACUAGGGAAUCCCCUCUCAAGCGCAAGCUUACAUCCUCACAUUAUUAACAAAUAACUAAUACAGCAAUUUCAACAAGACCAAAUAUUAUUCUUCUUGUUAACCCAACUCAGGAGCGCUUAUUAGAAAGAUUAAAAUCCGUAAAAGGAACUAGGCAAACCCAAGGCCCGACUGUUUACCAAAAACAUAGCCUUCAGCUAAGCCAAGUAUUGAAGGUGAUGCCUGCCCAGUGACACUUAAUGUUUAACGGCCGCGGUAUCCUAACCGUGCGAAGGUAGCGCAAUCAAUUGUCCCAUAAAUCGAGACUUGUAUGAACGGCUAAACGAGGUCUUAACUGUCUCUUACGGAUAAUCAGUGAAAUUGAUCUUCCUGUGCAAAAGCAGGAAUAAAUACAUAAGACGAGAAGACCCUGUGGAACUUAAAAAUCAGCGACCACCAUACAUUAAACCUAAACCUAACAGGUUCACCACUACCAAAACAUUGGUCCGCAUUUUUCGGUUGGGGCGACCUUGGAGAAAAACAGACCCUCCAAAAAUAAGACCACACCUCUUAACUAAGAGCAACCCCUCAACGUACUAACAGUAACCAGACCCAAUACAAUUGAUCAAUGGACCAAGCUACCCCAGGGAUAACAGCGCAAUCCCCUCCAAGAGCCCAUAUCGACAAGGGGGUUUACGACCUCGAUGUUGGAUCAGGACAUCCUAGUGGUGCAGCCGCUACUAAGGGUUCGUUUGUUCAACGAUUAAUAGUCCUACGUGAUCUGAGUUCAGACCGGAGCAAUCCAGGUCGGUUUCUAUCUAUGACGUACUUUUCCUAGUACGAAAGGACUGGAAAAGUGGAGCCAAUACUACAAGCACGCUCCCCUCCCAAGCAAUGAACCAAACUGAAUUACCAAGGGAGCACCCACCAGUAAUCAAUAUCCAUCCUAGAAAAGGACCG